rnacentral:rRNA from 1 species
GAUGAACGCUGGCGGCGUGCCUAAUACAUGCAAGUCGAGCGAACAGACGAGGAGCUUGCUCCUCUGACGUUAGCGGCGGACGGGUGAGUAACACGUGGAUAACCUACCUAUAAGACUGGGAUAACUUCGGGAAACCGGAGCUAAUACCGGAUAAUAUAUUGAACCGCAUGGUUCAAUAGUGAAAGACGGUUUUGCUGUCACUUAUAGAUGGAUCCGCGCCGCAUUAGCUAGUUGGUAAGGUAACGGCUUACCAAGGCGACGAUGCGUAGCCGACCUGAGAGGGUGAUCGGCCACACUGGAACUGAGACACGGUCCAGACUCCUACGGGAGGCAGCAGUAGGGAAUCUUCCGCAAUGGGCGAAAGCCUGACGGAGCAACGCCGCGUGAGUGAUGAAGGUCUUCGGAUCGUAAAACUCUGUUAUUAGGGAAGAACAAAUGUGUAAGUAACUAUGCACGUCGUGACGGUACCUAAUCAGAAAGCCACGGCUAACUACG